GCGUCCAUGGUGUAGUGGUUUAGCAUUGAUGCCUUCCAAGCAUUAGGGAGGGGUUCGAUUCCCCUUGGUCGCA
rnacentral:tRNA from 2 species